UACGAAGGGGGCUAGCGUUGCUCGGAAUCACUGGGCGUAAAGGCGCGUAGGCGGCCGUCGGAUAAGUCGGGGGUGAAAGCCUGUGGCUCAACCACAGAAUUGCCUUCGAUACUGUUAGGCUUGAGACCGGAAGAGGUAAGUGGAACUGCGAGUGUAGAGGUGAAAUUCGUAGAUAUUCGCAAGAACACCAGUGGCGAAGGCGGCUUACUGGUCCGGAUCUGACGCUGAGGCGCGAAAGCGUGGGGAGCAAACAGGG
rnacentral:rRNA from 1 species